UGGAUAUGUUUGGCGAAGAGAGUAGGCAUCGAGCACUGCUGCCGAUGCUGGCAUCGCCUUUUUAGGCAGAUCGCGCGGACUUUUUCCUCCCCAGUCCCCACGGCACCGUCGCUCGUUUGACGCGAGCACCCGUGUCACCAUCCCUCGCCGCACGCGCACCGUUAGACUGUGGAGUGAGCAGCAAAUACCACGCCGCCCCGCCGCCCCACCGCGACCCGUCACUCCGCACUCGUGGAGUGGAGCGCGCGGCUGGCGGCGGGCCUGCCUCGCCUUCACGCGUGCCGUGGUGGCACUAGUAGAGUAGGAGUGGCCGGUAAGCCCGCACCUAAACCGCAGUCUCCCAUCGCCACACCCCGCGGCACGGGCACGGCGCAGAGAUCCGUCCACGGUCCACCACCCACACCCCUCCCCCGCCGUGUCGCGCGCGGCGGCCAAAGCACGCGAGCGAGCGAGCAAGCGAGAGCCUUUUCCGGCCACCUACGCCUCGGGCCGGAUGCGCGGGGAUCGCGUGAUGGCGGAGGCGGGCAAGCGGAUCGACCUGGCCGCGCCGCUGCGCUCGGCGCGCCUGCCAUACCACAAGGCCGACCUCAACUCCGGCCCCGUCCGCCACCCCGGCGCCGUGCCCUUCGUCUGGGAGCACAGCCCCGGCCAGCCCAAGAGCGUCCGCACACGCCGCCCGCCUCCGCCCUCUCCUUCGCUGCAGCCGCGCCCGGAGGAGAACGGCGCCACCCCUUACCACGACGCCCUGGGCGAGCGCGAUCGCGCACUGCCAAACGCCGCCGCCGCCGUGCCCCGAACUGGUGCCGCGGAGCGUAAGGCGGAGAGGCCGGAGGUCGAGCCGACAAAGGAAGCCACGACGCCUGAUGUGCUGUCCGUGGCCGAUGUGCUGCGGAAGGAGGAGGAGGACGUCGGCGAUGACGACGAGAGGUUCUCGGACGCGCUGGACACGCUCUCCCGUACAGAGUCCUUCACCGUGAACUGCAGUGUCAGCGGUCUCAGCGGCGUGCCGGACCGCCCCGCCGGUGCGCCCGGCGCACGCGGCUUCAUGAUGGACCGCUUCCUACCGGCCGCGCAGGCGGUGGCCGUGGGCUCCCCGCAGUACACCUUCCGCAAGGCCAGUGUAGCUGGCUCCACCGGCAACUCUGCCCGCGAGCAUGCACAUGCCGCUGCGGCCAAUUGGAGGAUGGGGAGCGAUGACGAUCGCGUCAGGAGAACGCCUGUCCAGCUCCCUUACCAGCAUCUGCCUCCCAAUUAUUUGUCCUGUAACUAUCCCAGACGCGAUGAGCAUGGGGAGGAGGAGGAAGAAGAAGAUGAUGAUGACUUCGACGUACAUAGUACCCGAGGUUUUGCAUCCAAGGGGUGUGGUUUGCUCCCUGGUUUGUGUGUUAAAACCUCCUUGUUACUACUGAAUCCAAUGCCUAUGAUGAAGGGUGGCAAGGCACGCCGAGGAGGCAGAGGCAGGGGAUUGACAUCCAGAGGCAGGGCCCAGGACGCACCGAGCCCUCUUGGCCGCAGCUCACAACGUAAGAAUCUUGGUUGUGAUUCUAAUGGGCAAUACUGGGAGGAAGUUUAUAAGCACAAGCUGGAACGGAAGUACAUUAACCAAGGAGAGGAUAGGAGGAGCAAGCUGACAAGUGAGUCGAACCAUCUGACAUUCUGGAGUGACUCUCAGACUGGGGAUGGGUCUUCACCAUUCCGCCACUCCAUAGGUGGUGGCAUGUCUCCCUACCGCCGCGAUGUUGCCUUGUCACCAUCGCAGAAAGCAAAUGGGUCAUUUGAAAUAAGAGAUAAAGAUGAGAAAAUGAGUAGAAGCAAUGGCUCUAGCUCACUUGGAAUAGACCAGGAUCAUGGUUCAUUGCUUGGAUCAGAUCACAGUAGUUUGAAGGGAUCAAGCUCCAUGAGCUCUGGGAUAGAUAGACCAUUGCACGGAGAUUCAAUGGAUCACCGUGCAGGUAUUGAUUCAGAAGCUAGUCAGUUGACCCUGCCACUGGAUCCAAAGGCAUCUUUGAAUUCAGGGUGUGAUGUUCAACAUGGAGGACACCAGAUAGUCAGAAGUAACAGCAUAGUGGAAGUUCAAGACAAUGAUAGGUCUACAAAAACGGUCGCCAAAGUGCCAGAACCCAUUUCAUUAAUACCUUCCGGAAACGCAGGGUCAGUAAUACUGGAUGAUAGAAAAACUCAUGAUAGUAGUCAGGAUGUUCCAGUACAUUCGGAAGAUAAUAGUGCUGUCAAGAAGGAAAGUAUGCCUUUGCAAUUUCUAAUGCCGUUACCUGUCCCAAAAUCACCUUCAGAUUCUUGGCUUUCUCGCAAUUUGCCAUCUGUGAAGAAUAAACCGAUUGCGCCAUCUUUUCUUGGAAUCCAAGUACAGUCAAAGAAACAAACUCCCUGGGCCUCCACACAUCCAAAGGAGAAUGAUCUUAAACCUCCCAGGCCACGCCAAAUACGAUUUGCAGAUGUGGUGGAGAGGCCUCAUUAUUUGGAUACUGAGAUAUGACAUCUUCCCUUAAAACGAGUACAUAUGCAUGAAAUGAUUCCUCUGGGGGUGGGGUGGGGUGGGGCAUCAGUCCUAUAUCGGCGACUGCCAACGCCCAAUGGUUCCAUAGAAGAGGCAUAUAGGUGCCCUGUUUUGCUGAUGUAGUGAUGGCUGGUUACCGCUUACCAGCGAUCCAGCAUGCUGGUAAAUUUGAUGUGCACGCGUGUUUGCAUACUAUUUGCUUUAUGUUGCCCAAGGACACUGCUGAUGCUGUUAUGUUGGCAGAGACGAAGAUAUUUUCUUAUGGGCUAUAUCAAGCAUGCAAAGCUUUUGCUACUCUUGUUUUGAACGCGCGUCAAGAGCAGAUAUAUGGACAUGUAUGUUUUCAAGAAAGAAACUCUGAUUUGUUAAUCAUAGUGUGUAUGUUUAUAAAGUUCAUGUACUCUAUGUGACGAUUUCCUUGUUCAGAAAGGAGAUGGACAAAUCUAUACCCCACUAAAAUCUUCCUAAGUC